rnacentral:rRNA from 1 species
UACGUAGGGCGCAAGCGUUGUCCGGAAUUAUUGGGCGUAAAGAGCUCGUAGGUGGCUUGUUGCGUCUGCCGUGAAAGCCCGUGGCUUAACUACGGGUCUGCGGUGGAUACGGGCAGGCUAGAGGCUGGUAGGGGCAAGCGGAAUUCCUGGUGUAGCGGUGAAAUGCGCAGAUAUCAGGAGGAACACCGGUGGCGAAGGCGGU